rfam:Butyrivibrio fibrisolvens 16/4 draft genome.
UGAUAGCUAUGAAGCGUGAGGUUGCAACCUAGUUACUCAGGUUGGUUUUCCGUGGAGCGAAUGUCAAGUUAGGAAACUGACGACAA